rnacentral:misc_RNA from 1 species
GAUGAAGAACGCAGCGAAAUGCGAUACGUAAUGUGAAUUGCAGAAUUCAGUGAAUCAUCGAGUCUUUGAACGCACAUUGCGCCCCCUGGUAUUCCGGGGGGCAUGCCUGUCCGAGCGUCAUUGCUGCCCUCAAGCACGGCUUGUGUGUUGGGCCUCCGUCCUCCUCCCGGGGGACGGGCCCGAAAGGCAGCGGCGGCACCGCGUCCGGUCCUCGAGCGUAUGGGGCUUCGUCACCCGCUCUAGUAGGCCCGGCCGGCGCUUGCCGACACAUCAAUCUUUUUUCCAGGUUGACCUCGGAUCAGGUAGGGAUACCCGCUGAACUUAAGCAUAUCAAUAAGCGGAGGA